rnacentral:rRNA from 1 species
UAAUAGUGUAUACUAAAGUUGUUGCGGUUGAAAAGCUCGUAGUUGGAUCUAGGGCGCUGGUCGAUGGUCCGCCGCAAGGUGUGUACUGUCGAUCGGAGUCUUACCUCUGGUUCUCUGUAGGUGCUCUUAACUGAGUGUCUGCGGUGGCCAGGAAAUUUACUUUGAAAAAAUUAGAGUGUUCAAAGCAGGCUUUUCGCCUGAAUAUUCGUGCAUGGAAUAAUGGAAUAGGACCUCUGUUCUAUUUUGUUGGUUUUUGGAAUGUGAGGUAAUGAUUAAGAGGGACAGACGGGGGCAUCCGUACUCUGCCGUUAGAGGUGAAAUUCUUGGAUCGGCGGAAGACGAACUACUGCGAAAGCAUUUGCCAAGAAUGUUUUCAUUGAUCAAGAACGAAAGUGUGGGGAUCGAAGACGAUCAGAUACCAU